UCACCGCGGCGACGAAGUCGCGCACGACC
rnacentral:sRNA from 1 species